AGAAUGGGCUUCCGGGACGGAAACGUUUCGGGGCCUUUUCUUUUGC
rnacentral:antisense_RNA from 1 species